rnacentral:lncRNA from 1 species
UUUGCCGGUAUUCCGGCGCUUGAAUCUGGCCAGCAACCAGACGUGCAGGAAGAGAAGAGGGAGUAAGUUCUUUGAUUUGUUGAUUUUUAUCAGAAUCUGAUGAACUCUGUGGGUUUGAUAUGGUGAUUUUUUAUUAGUGAAGUAUGUUCUUUGAUUUUCUGGUGAUUUUUGAUUUUCUGGUGAUUUUUGGCAUGUUGUCUUGAUUUUUUUGGUGAUUUUUUUAUCACUGACCUAUGUGGGUUCCUUGAAUAUGUGUGGGGUAUUUGAUUCUGAUGGUUUUCUGAAUCACUGAACUGGUGAUUUUCUGUUGAAUGUUUGAAUAAUGAUUUUUGGUAGAUUCGAACAGUGAUUUUCGGCUGGGUUUGCUGGUGAUUUUGAAUCUUUGAAUCUGUGGGUUUUGAUAUGGUCGAUUUUGGGCGGCUAUGAUGAAAAAAAAAGUAUGAUUUUAAUGACGAUGGCGCGGCAAGGAUGGUGGAGGGUAGGUUUUUGA